ensembl:lncRNA
GAUUCUGCCAUAUUUUUUUUUCUUUCAGAAUUCUGAGUUUUGUGUCACAGUUUUGACUUUUUCUUCCUCGGGAGUUCAGCAUAUUGAAAUUAUGCCGUUUUCCUCAGAAUUCUAAAUUUGAAUCUCACAAGUUUGACUUUACAUGGAAUUCUCGGACAAUUUUGAGCUCGUCACAAUCCCGUUGUUUUUAUUUAAAUCGGAAUUCUAAGUUUAAAUGUUGCAAUUCUGAUGCAUUUUUCUCAGAAUUCUGCAUUUACAUCUCACAUUUUUUAAGAAUUCAGAUUUUCUCACAAUUUUACUUUUUUUUCCUGAGAAUUGAGUUUGCAUCUUGCAUCUUAAAAUUCUGAGUUUACAUUUCACAAUUCUGUCAUUUUUCUCAGAAUUCUACACCUUGCAAUUAUGCCAUUCUUGUUUAAAUUCUUUAUUUAAAUUUGUCAUCUCACACUUCUGAGCUUUUGCUCAAAAUUCUAAGUUGCAUGUCAUUUUUGUCAUUUUUCUCAGAAUUCUGAGUUUAAUUCUUGUAAUUCUGAUGUUUUCUUCUCGAAUUCUAAAUUUACAUGUUGCAAUUUUGACUAUUCUCAGAAUUAUUAGUUAACAUCUCACAAUUCUGCCAUUUCUUUUCUUGGAAUUUCAGUUUUUUUUUCAGAACUCUGAGAAUCUCUCUAAAUCUACAUAACCUCAAAAUUGCGAAAAAACAAAACAAAAAGAGUCAGAAUGGCGAGAUAAAGUCUCUCAACAAGCUUCCUCUGAUAGAUUUGUGUGAGAAACAGACUGAAAUUAUGUUGUUUUCAGAGACUAACAGAUGUUGGAGGAAAAACAAACAUCUGCUUUUGUGUUUCACGGGAAAAUAUCAUCAAAUGGUUUUGGAAGAACAUGAAAGCAUUUUCAUUUUUAGGUGAACUCUUGCUUUAACCCACAGUCCGUCUGUCACUGCAAGCACAAGCCACCAAACCAGCGGACCGUUUCUUACAGAGGCCUACACUUACGGCAGUGGAAAAAAGAGGUGGGAAAUGGAAAUAAGGAAGACAUAAACACACAAAGGCUUCGUACAGAACAGAACGGCAUCUGUCAUUGCACACGAUCACAGAUGAAUCUGCCAUUGCACUUCUGAAUACUGCCACAUUAACCAUUUAAACCCCACAGGGUCUGGAUAGAUUUCAGUAGUAAAAUACAUUUAGAAUCCUGGCUGCCAGAAAAGUCAUCAAUUCUCAAAUUGUC